GACGAACGCUGGCGGCGUGCUUAACACAUGCAAGUCGAGCGGUAAGGCCCUUUCGGGGGUACACGAGCGGCGAACGGGUGAGUAACACGUGGGUGACCUGCCCUCAGCUCUGGGAUAAGCCUGGGAAACCGGGUCUAAUACCGGAUAUGACCUCAUGACGCAUGUUGUGGGGUGGAAAGCCUUGUGCGGCUGAGGAUGGGCCCGCGGCCUAUCAGCUUGUUGGUGGGGUGAUGGCCUACCAAGGCGACGACGGUAGCCGGCCUGAGAGGGCGACCGGCCACACUGGGACUGAGACACGGCCCAGACUCCUACGGGAGGCAGCAGUGGGGAAUCUUGCGCAAUGGGCGAAAGCCUGACGCAGCGACGCCGCGUGAGGGAUGACGGCCUGGU
rnacentral:rRNA from 1 species